rnacentral:rRNA from 1 species
GCUGAAGGAACUAGGCAAAAUGGUACCGUAACUUCGGGAGAAGGUACGCUGCCGACGGUGAUGGGAUUUACUCCCUGAGCGGUUGGCAGCCACAGAAACCAGGCCCCUGCAACUGUUUAUUAAAAACAUAGCACUCUGCAAACACGAAAGUGGACGUAUAGGGUGUGAUGCCUGCCCGGUGCUGGAAGGUUAAUUGAUGGGGUUAGCGUAAGCGAAGCUCUUGAUCGAAGCCCCAGUAAACGGCGGCCGUAACUAUAACGGUCCUAAGGUAGCGAAAUUCCUUGUCGGGUAAGUUCCGACCUGCACGAAUGGCAUAAUGAUGGGGGCGCUGUCUCCAGCAGAGACUCAGUGAAAUCGAAUUCGCCGUGAAGAUGCGGUGUACCCGCGGCUAGACGGAAAGACCCCGUGAACCUUUACUGCAGCUUGACAUUGAACUUUGAUCUUACUUGUGUAGGAUAGGUGGGAGGCUUUGAAACUCGGACGCUAGUUCGAGUGGAGCCAAUCUUGAAAUACCACCCUGGUAAUAUUGAGGUUCUAACUCUGCUCCAUUAUCUGGAGCGAGGACCAUGUCUGGUGGGUAGUUUGACUGGGGCGGUCUCCUCCUAAAGAGUAACGGAGGAGUACGAAGGUGCGCUCAGCGUGGUCGGAAAUCACGCGUAGAGUAUAAAGGCAAAAGCGCGCUUAACUGCGAGACCGACAAGUCGAGCAGGUACGAAAGUAGGUCUUAGUGAUCCGGUGGUUCUGUAUGGAAGGGCCAUCGCUCAACGGAUAAAAGGUACUCUGGGGAUAACAGGCUGAUACCGCCCAAGAGUUCAUAUCGACGGCGGUGUUUGGCACCUCGAUGUCGGCUCAUCUCAUCCUGGGGCUGAAGCAGGUCCCAAGGGUAUGGCUGUUCGCCAUUUAAAGAGGUACGCGAGCUGGGUUUAGAACGUCGUGAGACAGUUCGGUCCCUAUCUACCGUGGGCGUUGGAGACUUGAGAGGAUCUGCUUCUAGUACGAGAGGACCGAAGUGGACGAACCUCUGGUGUUCCGGUUGUCACGCCAGUGGCACUGCCGGGUAGCUAUGUUCGGAAGGGAUAACCGCUGAAAGCAUCUAAGCGGGAAGCCUACCUCAAGAUAAGAUUUCCCUAGGACUUUAUGUCCUCUAAAGAGCCGUUGAAGACUACGACGUUGAUAGGUUGGAUGUGGAAGUGCAGUGAUGCAUGAAGCUGACCAAUACUAAUUGCUCGUGAGGCUUGACUAU